AAGACCCUGAAAGCUUUAUGUUAUUUUAUAUUAUUUUAGUUAUUUUAAUAAAGGUGUAAUUUUACAAUUAGUUGGGGAAAUUUUUAUAAACAAUCUGUAAUUAAUUAGUACUUUGUUUUUAUGGUCCGUUAGAUAGUGAUAAGUAGGAGAAGUUACUUCAGGGAUAACAGCAUAAUAAUUUUGUAGAGUUCUUAUCGAUAAAAUUGACUGUGACCUCGAUGUUGAAUU
rnacentral:rRNA from 1 species